rnacentral:rRNA from 1 species
AUAUCAAUAAGCGGAGGAAAAGAAACCAACAGGGAUUGCCCCAGUAACGGCGAGUGAAGCGGCAAGAGCUCAAAUUUGAAAUCUGGCCUCCCCCGGGGGCCCGAGUUGUAAUUUGCAGAGGAUGCUUCGGGUGCGGCCACCGUAUAAGUUCCUUGGAACAGGACGUCAGAGAGGGUGAGAAUCCCGUCUUGGGCGGGCGGUCCGCGCCCGUGUGAAGCUCCUUCGACGAGUCGAGUUGUUUGGGAAUGCAGCUCUAAGCGGGUGGUAAAUUUCAUCUAAAGCUAAAUAUUGGCCGGAGACCGAUAGCGCACAAGUAGAGUGAUCGAAGGGUUAAAAGCACCUUGAAAAGGGAGUUAAACAGCACGUGAAAUUGUUGAAAGGGAAGCGCUUGCGGCCAGACUCGGGGGCGGGGUUCAGCGGGUGCUCGUCGCCCGUGUAUUCCUCGUCUCCCGGGCCAGCAUCAGUUUCGACGGCCGGUCAAAGGCCCCCGGAAUGUGUCGUCUCUCGGGACGUCUUAUAGCCGGGGGUGCAAUGCGGCCCGUCGGGACUGAGGAACGCGCUCCGGCUCGGAUGCUGGCGUAAUGGCCGUAAGCGGC